rnacentral:lncRNA from 10 species
GCCAAAUCCCACUGCAGCCUUUGCUGCCGCCACAAUGCCGAAAUGAAAGAAGCAGAAUCAGCACCAGCCCCCGCCACAGCAGCAGCCCCCACUGCCCGAGAGGGAAAAGACUGGAGCUGACGAGGAUGGGAGUCCCAUCGGAUCACCCAGCCUUCUUGAGCCUCCCACCAUGGCCAUUGGAAAACCUGAUGACCCUAAGUCAGCUCCUCACAGAGGUCCUCCAGGAGCAAGGGGACCGCUGAUUCUACCGCUGCUGAGCCUCCCACCUCCUCCUCAGGGUAGAGGCCCAAUGCCAGGAGGCCUUGGCCCCAGGCCUAGCCCAUAUGAUUGUAGUUGGUGGGGAGUCAAUGCUGAACCUCCUUUUCCGGCGCCAGGCCAUGGGGGUCCCGCCUGGCAAAGCCUUCACAAAGAACAGAGAAACCCUCAAAGGCUCGAAAGCCGGUCUCUUAUCAAGAAUACCAGCCCA